UUACGUAGGUGGCAAGCGUUGUCCGGAUUUACUGGGCGUAAAGGGAGCGUUAGGUGGAUGUUUAAGUGGGAUGUGAAAUACCUGGGCUUAACUUGGGUGCUGCAUUCCAAACUGGAUAUCUAGAGUGCAGGAGAGGAAAGUGGAAUUCCUAGUGUAGCGGUGAAAUGCGUAGAGAUUAGGAAGAACACCAGUGGCGAAGGCGACUUUCUGGACUGUAACUGACACUGAGGCUCGAAAGCGUGGGGAGC
rnacentral:rRNA from 1 species